CAAUAGCGUAUAUUAAAGUUGUUGCGGUUAAAAAGCUCGUAGUUGGAUCUCUUCCAGGGGCAGUCGGUCCACACUACGUGUGCGUAUCUGAUUUGACUUUGGAAUCCUCUUGGGGAACAUCUCUGCGCUUAACUGCGUGGAAUGGUAUUCAAGACUUUUACUUUGAGGAAAUUAGAGUGUUCACGGCAGGCAAUCGCCCUGAAUACAUUAGCAUGGAAUAAUAAUAUAGGAUUUCGGUUCUAUUUUGUUGGUUUCUAGAGCUGAGAUAAUGAUUAAUAGGGACACUUGGGGGCAUUCGUAUUAUCACGUCAGAGGUGGAAUUCUUGGAUUGUGUUACGACGAACUACUGCGAAAGCAUUUGCCAAGGAUGUUUUCAUUGA
rnacentral:rRNA from 1 species